CUUUUCCAGAUAUGGGAAGUUGUUUGCAUCGCAGGACGCAACUUUGAAGAACGGCACAUCCAGCUCAUGGAGAAACUCCACAGCCAUCUAUGAAUAUCAAGAGAAGAGCGCUCUCUGCGAGAUGACAUGCUGCACUGGCGCCUGGUAGUAAGAGGCCAAGACUCCAGACAGAAUCACCUGUGAAGGGUUGACUAUGUGGAGGAUGUUGAUGAUGCCCACACCCAGUGCAGUGGCGGCUAAAAAGGGUUAAUGACAGGUGUGCCAAAGGCCCCAGCCUCUCGUACCCCGCAGCUGCUGUUUCCAAUCAUGCAGCCAGCAUGUGACACAAGCUGGAUGAACUGCUCAAAAGGAAUGUGCUUCACUGCUCGGAAGUUUGGGUGUUGCUCAAUCCCCUUUCUUCGCAUAACACGUACCAUCUCCUUACUUCCUGUUUAUAGGAGAAAUGCUUAUGUUAUUUUUCUCAACUUUUGUUUGAGUGUCCAAACCUUAUUGAAAAGAGGACUUUAAAAACAGUAACCACAGGUGGAGCUAACCGGCAUCAAUGUUGGGAAAGAGGAUGAGAGUCUUCUUGUUGAAGGAAAUCAACGCAUCCAGCAUCAGCCCAUAGAUUUUAAUAGAGUGCUGGAUGUUCGUCGUGACCGGGUGCUGCAAUGCUACAAUAUAGUCACCUUCCUGGACUUUGUCAUCUGCAAGAUGCAAAUAUCACAUAAAAUACAAACGUAGACUUAUUUCUCAUUAAAUAAUUUUGUCCUGUGAAUAUAUUUCUGCAUACCCAACCAGCUUUUGAUGAUAUCCAUGUAGUCCUCUCUGUGAUGAGACAAUAGCAGCUUGUCAUAUGAAGGGCAGCCAGCAAGGAGGAUACGAGAGUGGUCCUCACACAUAGCUAUGAGGUGCUGCUCUGCCAUCCGUGUGCAGCAGGCGUGGUAAUGGGCCAGUUUACUGAUAGCAUGGCGGAUUGAGUCAUCAAUUGUACCACUAACCUGGAACAAGCAGCACAGGAUAGAGUUAAAAAAUAAUAAUAAUACUGAUGUAACCACCCCCAUCCUCCAGUAGCUAGUGUCCCCUAUGUUUUAAAUUCUAGGUGACUCCCUUCUUUUGUUAUCACAAGAUUUUCAGAAAACCUGACCUCUGAACUUGAUCUCAAGGUCAAGGUCACCAAAAUUCAAACUCCUCUGGCAUGUUUUUGAAGAUGCACCUAUUGUAUGAAUUAGAAAACUCUAGGUGACAACUUUUGAGAUACUGUUAUGACAUAGUUGGGUGUCCAAGCUGUCCACCCGCCCAGCCCAUCAGCCUUUUACAGCUGAGGGGUAAAACAAAAAGAAGAAAAGAUUCUGCACUGGCAGAAUGCAUAAAAAAAUCUAAGUACUUAUGAUGCAAUAUUGCCCCCAUAUUUUCAUUUUCUUUUCAUUGUGUGCUGCUUUCAAGAAAUGUAAUUGCCUCUAAUGAAGGAGAAACUGUUCAACUGGGUUUCCUCACCUCUCCUCCCUCCAGGUGAAGUAUUCUAAUAUUCAUUAAUGCUGCAGCAGUAGCCAAAGCGAGAGCAUCGAAACGAUCACCGUGUACGACCAGGAUGUCAGGUUUCAGUCUCUGUAUAACAUCAGGGAGUUUUACAAGUGCCAGCCCAACACUUUCCACCAUGGCAGCCUCGUCCUCUCCUCUCACAAUAGUGUGGAGCUUCGAGCCAAUGUCAAAGUCGUCCUGCUCAAUCAUCCGAAAAGUGUUCCUGCAAAAACAAAACAUUUCGGUCACCGAGCAAACAAAAUGUUGUUGGCUAUUUUGUGAGCAUCUUCUGAAGGUCCACAAGUGAAAAAGAAAAGAAAAAGUGGCAUUUGCAAAGGAAAAAAGUUGGGUCGUCUUACCCGUAGUCAUCAAUGAGAUGUGAACCAAGCACCACAACUUCCAGUUCAAAGUCUUCUGGGUGGGA